GCCAAGACCAUUUACAAGUAAAAGGAAUGAGCUGGGUGUGGUGACACAUGCCUGUCAUCGAAGCACUCUGGAGCCUGAGGCAGGAGGAUCUCCGAGAGUUCAAGUCUAGUCUGGACUACAUAUCUGCAGAUGUGGAGGGUUACGAGGUCCAUCCUGUAAAGGCCCCACCACCCUUCACUCCAUGCUGAGGACCAGGCCUGCAACACUGGAACUCCUGGUGGACAAAACGCAUCACAACUACACCAAUUACCAAAAGUAUGAAGCGGAAAGAGACCCCUGGGACAGAUGAUAAUGCCACCGCAGGGAGCAGGGGAAGAGGAGCAUGCUGGGAGGACAAUUCCCUAAGGAAUGACGGACCAACAAGAUGAAAAGUAGCAGGAUCCUGGAAGGACUGGAACAGCUGCCAACUGGACUCUCAUCACAGACUUGGCGAAAGACUUGGGAAUUAUCCGUCCUCUGUUGGAGGAGGAGCUCUCUGCCCAAGCAUCCUAAACCUUCACCCUCUAUAAUAGGCCAUUCAUUUAAGGUGCACAAUGACCCAGAGAGUUGGCUACUAUUAUUAUUCCUGUUUCACAUGUAAGGUUACUGAGGCUCAGAGAAGGCUGAAUAAUUUGCCCAAAUCUAUCGCUGAACCGCCCUAAAUGGACCCAAUCUUACAAGCUUGCUUGGUGCUUGGAUGGGAGGCUGCUUAUCACUGCCAGAAGCCCGAGGCUUUACAAUAAUAAUAAAUUCACCCACAAUUCCCAAACCAUGUGGUGCAAACAACAUCAGAAGCCAGAUUCCUUCAGCUCUAAAGAACACACACAAGUUCUGACUCACAAGUUCCAGGGCUGAGGCUGAGAAUCUGCAUUUGUAUAAAGCUCCUCUGUUACAGUUUGGAUUAAAAAUAAAAUGUGCCCAC
rnacentral:lncRNA from 1 species